CUUAUUCAAACAACCAAAAUUAAAAAUACUGAAAGUUAAAGAAAACUAAAAUUAAACUAAAACUAAAUACAAGAACUAGAGCAAAUAUAACUAGAAUCAAUUAAUCAAAAGUCUAGAACCACAAUAUGCCCUUAAUGUUUCAUUUGAAUUUCUUCCAUUCUCUCUUUACUUACUAGAUAGGCUUGAGCUGUUAACCUAGAGUUAUAAUUUAUUUAUAAGU
rnacentral:lncRNA from 1 species